rnacentral:rRNA from 1 species
AGCGAACGCUGGCGGCAGGCUUAACACAUGCAAGUCGAGCGGGCACUUCGGUGUCAGCGGCAGACGGGUGAGUAACACGUGGGAACGUACCCUUCGGUUCGGAAUAACGCUGGGAAACUAGCGCUAAUACCGGAUACGCCCUUUUGGGGAAAGGUUUACUGCCGAAGGAUCGGCCCGCGUCUGAUUAGCUAGUUGGUGGGGUAAUGGCCUACCAAGGCGACGAUCAGUAGCUGGCCUGAGAGGAUGAUCAGCCACACUGGGACUGAGACACGGCCCAGACUCCUACGGGAGGCAGCAGUGGGGAAUAUUGGACAAUGGGCGCAAGCCUGAUCCAGCCAUGCCGCGUGAGUGAUGAAGGCCUUAGGGUUGUAAAGCUCUUUUGUCCGGGACGAUAAUGACGGUACCGGAAGAAUAAGCCCCGGCUAACUUCGUG